rnacentral:SRP_RNA from 1 species
CCGUGCUAGAUGGGGAGCUGGCGGUGCCCUGUAACCCGCAAUCCGCCUUAGCGGGGUCGAAUUCCUGUCCAAGGUCAUAUCCGUGUGGGGUCUGGUCCAUGCAUGAAGUGUUGACGAACAGGUCCUGCGCAACGGGAAUCUCUGAACCGUGUCAGGUCCUGACGGAAGCAGCACUAAGGAGACUCUCCCGUGUGCCGCAGGGGUGCCUGAUCCGAGCGGAUUGGAUGGAGUCCGCCCAGGCGGGAAUGAUCGACGACAGGUGCACGG